CCUACGGGUGACAGCAGUGAGGAAUAUUGGUCAAUGGACGAGAGUCUGAACCAGCCAAGUAGCGUGAAGGAUGACUGCCCUAUGGGUUGUAAACUUCUUUUAUAUGGGAAUAAAACGUUCCACGUGUGGGAUUUUGUAUGUACCAUAUGAAUAAGGAUCGGCUAACUCCGUGCCAGCAGCCGCGGUAAUACGGAGGAUCCGAGCGUUAUCCGGAUUUAUUGGGUUUAAAGGGAGCGUAGGUGGAUGGUUAAGUCAGUUGUGAAAGUUUGAGGCUCAACCGUAAAAUUGCAGUUGAAACUGGCAGUCUUGAGUACAGGAGAGGUGGGCGGAAUUCGUGGUGUAGCGGUGAAAUGCUUAGAUAUCACGAAGAACUCCGAUUGCGAAGGCAGUUCACUGGACUGCAACUGACACUGAGGCUCGAAAGUGUGGGUAUCAAACAGGAUUAGAUACCCGGGUAGUC
rnacentral:rRNA from 1 species